GACUAAUUUCCUGUAAAAAAAGGUUUUGAAAAAGUUAAAAAUUAGAAAACAAAAAUAUUAAAACAAGAGCUACAAGCUACAACCUUUCUCCGAAAAUCUAGUAUGCUAAAAAUAUCUAUAUAGGGGUCACCAUUAGUUAUAUAGCGUCAGUAAACCGCCGGUAGACUGUUGAAAACAACGCAUUUUUCACGACACUUUCAAGAAACAAAAAGAGAUAGUUCAUACGAAAAAUGACUGAAAGCGAAACGACUGUUGAAUCUUUCAUGAAGUGGAAACGCCCUAAGAUUUAAAUGUCAGCGCAUCGGCGAGGAAAUUGAAACAACGUGAUUUUGAAGUCAUUGAAGUGGAUUUUUCGUUCGGCUAUCAUUUCGUCACUUUUGUAACAGUUUUUGAUGCCCUUUCGAACGUCGUUGUGUGUAAAGUGUGUCAUUCUGAAGUAAAAUUCUCAGAGAGCAGUAAACGAGGAUUGGGAUUUAAACUUGUUGUAUCCUGUGAUAAAUGCGAGAAAAAAGAAAUACCGAAUAGCACAUACAUCAAGAAUGCCUACGAAUAAUCGAAGAAUUAUUUUUGCCAUGCGAUUGCUUGGAAUCGGUCUGCAUGGAAUAAGAAAAUUUCGCGCGUUUAUGGAAUUGCCCCGCCCCGUCUUUCAAGCGACUUAUGACAGUAUUAUCGCACACAUUUUGUCUGCAAGAGAAGUAGUUUUCAAGAGCAGUAUGUCAAAUGCAGCACAAGAAGAUGAUGUUUUCGAAGCCAUAAAGCCGGUAUACCCGCUGCAUUGGAGGAUACACGCAAAAUAACAAUGAGAGUUUCAACUCGACUGUGUGGGCGAUGGCUCCAAAAACGAUGAAUUUCGUUUCGAGUUUUGCCAGGCAGUGGACCAGAACCGCAUCAAAAAAGCAGAAUAAUCAUUGAGUGAUGGAGCAAAACAGGCCCGCCUCGACUUAAAAGCUGUUUGGAAGGAGAAGCAACGGGUGGACAUCGAUAUAGAAGGCCAAUUGUAUGAUGCAGGCAUCGCAGAUUAAAGGUGUAGAUCCUUGGAACUGGUAACGGCGUAAUAUGCGCUCUCCUUAUAGUGAGAAGACGAAAUUUGUUUUUAUUUUUGACAGUUGUGUUCCGUUUUUAUAUAUUUUUAAGUAAACGACUAUGCCAAAGUUUCCAGCUGUAUUAAAUGAAAUUCCGAAUAUUAUUCUUAGCAUACAGUUUGAGGCUAAGAUUAAUUAAAUAAUAUUAAACGUAUUUUAAUUGCCGGAGAAUAACUAUCAUCGGUAAAAAUAAAAGUCGCUAUACGUAAUAAAAGUCAAAAGAUGGCUGCAGCAAUAGAUUAAAAAAAAUGUAUUGGCAAUAGAUGGC